GACGAACGCUGGCGGCGUGCCUAAUACAUGCAAGUCGAGCGGACCGGAUUGGGGCUUGCCUUGAUUCGGUCAGCGGCGGACGGGUGGGUAACACGUGGGCAACCUGCCCGCAAGACCGGGAUAACUCCGGGAAACCGGAGCUAAUACCGGAUAACACCGCCUACCGCAUGGUCUUCGGUUGAAAGGCGGCCUUUGGGCUGUCACUUGCGGAUGGGCCCGCGGCGCAUUAGCUAGUUGGUGAGGUAACGGCUCACCAAGGCGACGCUGCGUAGCCGGCCUGAGAGGGUGGACGGCCACACUGGGACCGGGACACGGGCCAGAAUCCCACGGGAGGGAGGAGGAGGGAAACUUCCGCAAUGGGCGGAAGCCUGACGGCGGGACGCCGGGGGAGGGAAGAAGGCCCUCGGGUCGGAAAGCUCCGUUGGGAGGGACGAAGGAGCGUCGUUCGAAGAGGGCGGCGCGGUGACGGUACCUCACGAGAAAGCCCCGGCUAACUACGUG
rnacentral:rRNA from 1 species